UUCCCACGCCGGGAAUCGAACCCGGGCCUUUCUGGGUGAAAGACAGAUAUCCUAGCACCUAGACCACGUGGGA